rnacentral:rRNA from 1 species
UACGGAGGGUGCAAGCGUUAAUCGGAAUUACUGGGCGUAAAGCGCACGUAGGUGGUUUUCUAAGUCAGCUGUGAAAUCCCCGGGCUCAACCUGGGAACUUGCAGUUGAAACUGGAAAGCUAGAGUAGGGUAGAGGGGUGUGGAAUUCCAGGUGUAGCGGUGAAAUGCGUAGAUAUCUGGAGGAACAUCAGUGGCGAAGGUCGACACCCUGGACUCAUACUGACACUGAGGUGCGAAAGCGUGGGGAGCAAACAG